AAAAUCUUUCAUAAAAUCAUAGUAAGAUAGUAUUUAAAAGUUUUAAUAAUAUAUUUUAUUUAUUUCACUUACUUUUAAAAUAUUGUAGAUGUUUUAAGACAAAAAAAAAGAAAAAAAAACAGAAAUGUUUCGAAGUGUGGAUUGCAAUAAAUAAAGUUAAUGAUUGGAUUUUAACGGUAAAUUGCAAAUGCAUGGCAAGGUUGGGCUCAGUGUGGGUUGGGCUACAGUGUGUAGUCACACCGGUGCUUUGUUGUUUAAGCUAGUUGCAUGUGCACAACUUGACUUAAGAAAAAUAUAUAUUGCACAAACAAAUUAUGCAGUUGGAAAAAAUCUUGUAAACCAGCAGGCCCAGCACCAUUAAAAAAAACUAAUUUUUUCGAUUGAAAAAGCGUGAAACUCUUCCGACUAUUAGUGACAAUGAAAACUCACAGGAUGAAAGAAUUUACAGCUUUAAUGAUCCAAUACCAACUUAAUUACCAACUUUAGAUAUUUAAAAAAAAGUUAUUUGAAUUUAGAAAAAUAUUUAAGAAUGCUGCCAUUCUCCAAUCUGUAGACAUUAAAAAUAAAAGAGAAGAAAAUAGCAGUGGUACAGAUACUGCGGAAGAAAAUGACAUUUACUCAGAAAAUAGUUUGCUGGAACGUUCA